rnacentral:rRNA from 1 species
GACGAACGCUGGCAGCGUGCUUAACACAUGCAAGUCGAACGGAAAGGCCCCUUCGGGGGUACUCGAGUGGCGAACGGGUGAGUAACACGUGAGUAACCUGCCCUUGACUUCGGGAUAACUUCAGGAAACUGGGGCUAAUACCGGAUAGGAAUCCUUGCUGCAUGGUGGGGGUUGGAAAGCUUCGGCGGUUUUGGAUGGACUCGCGGCUUAUCAGCUUGUUGGUGGGGUAGUGGCUUACCAAGGCUUUGACGGGUAGCCGGCCUGAGAGGGCGACCGGCCACAUUGGGACUGAGAUACGGCCCAGACUCCUACGGGAGGCAGCAGUGGGGAAUAUUGCACAAUGGGCGGAAGCCUGAUGCAGCAACGCCGCGUGCGGGAUGACGGCCUUCGGGUUGUAAACCGCUUUCAGCAGGGGCGAAGCUUGUGGUGACGGUACCUGCAGAAGAAGCACCGGCUAACUACGUG